GCUCAGACAGCCAGGAGGUUGGCUUAGAAGCAGCCAUCCUUUAAAGAGUGCGUAAUAGCUCACUGGUCGAGCGAUAGUGCGCCGAAAAUUCAUCGGGGCUCAAGUUUGCCACCGAAGCUACGGACUUCCAUCGCAAGGUGGGAGUGGUAGGGGAGCAUUCUCUGUGCAGCGAAGGUUGACCGACAAGGACAGCUGGAGCGCAGAGAAGAGAUUAUGCAGGCAUAAGUAGCGAUAAAUGAUGUGAGAAUCAUCAUCCCCGUAAGCCUAAGGUUUCCUGGCCUAUGUUCGUCAGGUCAGGGUGAGUCGGAUCCUAAGCCGAGGCCGAGAGGCGUAGGCGAUGGAAAACAGGUCAACAUUCCUGUACCACAGUGGUGACGUUAUCAGCGAAGGGGGGGUGCAGAAGGGUAGGCACCGCCGGGUCCCUGGAAUACCCGGUCCAAGCGUGUAGGCGGGUCUCGUUGGCAAAUCCGCGAGGCCGUUACCGCCGAGACGUGAUGGGGAGGCCGCAAGGCCGUAAACGGGCUGAUCCCAUGCUGCCGAGAAAAGCCUCGUAGCGAGUCAUCAUCGUGUCCGUACCGCAAUCCGACACAGGUAGGCAGGUGGAAUACACUAAGGGGCGUGAGAGAACACUUCCUAAGGAACUUUGCAAUUUAGCCCCGUAACUUCGGGAGAAGGGGUGCCACGCCUAGGUGAGAUUGUACAAAUUAAGCCGAACGUGGUUGCAAUAAAGUGGCUCUAGCGACUGUUUACCAAAAACACAGGACUCUGCGAACACGCAAGUGGACGUAUAGGGUCUGACGCCUGCCCGGUGCUGGAAGGUUAACCGGAGGAGUUAGCCGCAAGGCGACGCUUUGAAGGGAAGCCCCAGUAAACGGCGGCCGUAACUAUAACGGUCCUAAGGUAGCGAAAUUCCUUGUCGGGUAAGUUCCGACCUGCAUGAAUGGCGUAACGACUGGAGCGCUGUCUCGGGAAGUGACUCAGCGAAUUUGUUGUUCCGGUGAAGAAGCCGGGUGCCCGCAACUAGACGGAAAGACCCUGUGCACCUUUACUACAACUUGACAUUGGAUGUUGGAGAAGGCUGUGUAGGAUAGGUGGGAGCCUGCGAAGCGUGGCCGCUAGGUCGCGUGGAGGCGUCGUUGAAAUACCACCCUGAAUUUUCUGAUAUUCUAACUCGGCCCUGUCAUCCAGGGCGAAGACAGUGUCUGGUGGGUAGUUUGACUGGGGCGGUCGCCUCCCAAAAGGUAACGGAGGCGUUCAAAGGUUCCCUCAGGCUGGUCGGUAAUCAGCCGUCGAGUGCAAAGGCAGAAGGGAGCUUGACUGCGAGAGCGACAGCUCGAGCAGAGACGAAAGUCGGACUUAGUGAUCCGGUGGUUCUGUGUGGAAGGGCCAUCGCUCAACGGAUAAAAGGUACGCCGGGGAUAACAGGCUGAUCUCCCCCAAGAGUUCACAUCGACGGGGAGGUUUGGCACCUCGAUGUCGACUCAUCGCAUCCUGGGGCUGAAGCUGGUCCCAAGGGUUAGGCUGUUCGCCUAUUAAAGCGGUACGAGAGUUGGGUUCAGAACGUCGUGAGACAGUUCGGUCCCUAUCUGUUGUGGGCGGAGGAGAGUUGAGAGGGGCUUUCACUAGUACGAGAGGACUGUGAAGGACGGACCUCUAGUGUGCCGGUUGUCGCGCCAGCGGCAGCGCCGGGUAGCUAUGUCCGGUGGCGAUAAUCGCUGAAAGCAUCUAAGCGAGAAGCGUGCCUCAAGAUAAGCUCUCCCGUAGCAUUAUGCUACCUAAAGACCACUCGUAGACCACGAGUUUGAUAGGCUGGGUGUGGAAGGCCCGUGAGGGCUGUAGCUAACCAGUACUAAUCGGUCGUGCGGUUUAACAUC
rnacentral:rRNA from 1 species